CAGCAGACAUAUUCCAGCCAAUCAGCAGCAGACCCUCCCUCCCAGAUCCUCCCACCUCCUGGACAGCAUCCAUUUUACAUUCAUUGUGAAGCUGCAUUCUUAGUGAGCUGUCCAGGAGGUGGGAGAGUCUGGGAGGGAGGGUCUGCUGCUGAUUGGCUGGAAUGUGUCUGCUG
rnacentral:miRNA from 1 species